rnacentral:rRNA from 1 species
GAUGAACGCUGGCGGCGUGCCUAAUACAUGCAAGUCGAGCGAACAGACGAGGAGCUUGCUCCUCUGACGUUAGCGGCGGACGGGUGAGUAACACGUGGAUAACCUACCUAUAAGACUGGGAUAACUUCGGGAAACCGGAGCUAAUACCGGAUAAUAUAUUGAGCCGCAUGGUUCAAUAGUGAAAGACGGUUUUGCUGUCACUUAUAGAUGGAUCCGCGCCGCAUUAGCUAGUUGGUAAGGUAACGGCUUACCAAGGCAACGAUGCGUAGCCGACCUGAGAGGGUGAUCGGCCACACUGGAACUGAGACACGGUCCAGACUCCUACGGGGGGCAGCAGUAGGGAAUCUUCCGCAAUGGGCGAAAGCCUGACGGAGCAACGCCGCGUGAGUGAUGAAGGUCUUCGGAUCGUAAAACUCUGUUAUUAGGGAAGAACAAAUGUGUAAGUAACUAUGCACGUCUUGACGGUACCUAAUCAGAAAGCCACGGCUAACUACGUG